GUGACUGCAUACAAGGAGUGCCCAGGGUAAAAUAUGGUGGUGGAUCAAUAAUGCUUUGGGGUUGUUUUGCAACUAAUGGAUUAGGGUUAGGAUUAGGGUUAGAAUUUGACUAUAGGGAAUUUUAAUCUAAAACCUGGUUGCCUCUGCCAGGAGAUUAAGACUUGAGAAGAUCGAUCUUUCAAAAAGAUGAUCAUCUAUGGUCAUCUAUGGUGUCGAUCAAAAAGGACAGUCCUUUAAAGAGGACAAACAUUUAGCAAUUUAAUUAUAGAAAUAAUCUUGUCAUUUUCUGGUAGAGAAGUGAAGAUCCCUCUACAACAGUUUCCAAAUUUGUUAAUCAUUACAGAAAUACUUUUUAUCAGUUAUCAGUUUUAAGGGGACAUAUUACUUUCAGUGUUUUGCAGAAAAAAAAAUAUUGCUUAAGAAAUGGUUUUGUGUGUGUAAAAAAAGUUAGCUUAAAUAAAACAUCACUAAUUGCAUGUGGAAUUAUUCCAUUUUUGUUUACUGUCAUGAAAUCAACAAAAACAUGCCCCACCAGUCAUGUGCAGGACUGAUCAACAGUUACUAGAAAUGUUUACUUGCUGUUAUUUCUGUACAAACGGGUCACACCAGAUACUGAAAGCAAAGGUUCACAUACUUUUGCCACUCAUAGAUGUGUAAUAUUGGACAAUUUUCCUCAAUAAACAAAUGACCAAGUAUAAUAUUUUUGUAUCUCAUUUGUUUAAGUGGGUUCUCUUUAUCUACUUUUAUGACUUCUGUGAAAACAUGAUGAUGUUUUAGGUCAUAUUUAUGCAGAUAUAUAGAAGAUUGUAAAGGCACGUUCAAGUGCCACUGUAGUAUAGGCACAUAGAGUAUAGUUUGAAGUGACAGGUCAUCAAAAAAACAACAACAAUGGUCUUGUUUGCUCAACACUCUUGCUCAACUCAUGUUUGUGGAAAUGUUGCUGAAAUCCCCAGCAGGAAACUUCAAAACAGUAUGCAUUAAGAGAAAAAUUUCUGACAGAACAGAGUCAGAGAAAUUAACUAGUUAAACAACAUUUCAAAACACACAGUGUCAGCAGUCUGAAUUGUGCCAUUUAUUCCCCCAUGUCUUGGCAUCUUUGAGUUCUGUGACAAUUAUACAGUUCUAUCUCUAAAGCCCUCCAACACUGGAUCAAAGCCUAUAAUUGUGUCUGGAUUUGAAUUGCCACUGUGUAGUUAUGAUGCUGUGAAUUCAAGGGUAACCCAGCAUUAAGAUAAUGUGUACUCUUUCUGUGGGAUAGAGAGAAAGAAUUAGCACAUUUGCUCCCCAUGCUCCCUGGGUCCAGGCCACUCCAGAAUGGAAAUGAGCCAUGAAUGAUGUGAUUUGUUGGAUGAUCCCUGACACCUUCCAUGCACCGGUCCACUGCAGUAUACAGCCGUUCUACAAUCAGCCUGCUCAAAGCACCCAUUAUGCUCCCACAUUAGUGGUGCACAAUAGUAGGUAUUAUCACUCAUAGGAACAAAUGACUUUGUAAUGUUUGCUAUGGCUGCACUUUUGGUCUUCUUAGUUGUGUUACUAGCAAUGAAGGUAGAUAUCACACUAAUGUGGCAGAUGCUAAAAUCACAAUGGGUGUGGCAUUUUUUAUUUCUACCAAAUACAUGCAUGUGAACAUAUCUGUAAAUGCAUGUGUGUGAGAGAGGCACAGAGAGCAAUAGUGUGUUAUGCUGCACAGCUGUGCCUGGAUUACAAAUGCCUGCAUAUUAGUGGUCUAUAUCAAAUGGCCCUUUCUGCUCCUGCCCAAGAAUCCAACCCACGAGUUUAUGCUCUCAUCACUGCAUUGGCUAGAAUGUGCUCAUAACAACUGCAGGCACCUGUUACAAUAAUAGCAUACUGAUUAUCAUUACCACCGCCCCCACCAUGGCAGUCAUAACAUCAAAGAUGACUUCUAAUCCGGCUAUAGCACCAUAUAAUAAUUAUUUCUAGUAGUUUACUGGCUUUUUUAUAUAAAUGAGACAGUAUAACAGAUUAUUAAGGAUAUCUCUGUUCAGGGCUGCUGCAUUGCAGCCCAUUUUUGCUGCCAGUCAUUAUGUUUGCUUAGGUUGACAAUUAGUAACCCUUAUAUAAUCAGAAAGGAAUAUAGACCUAAAUCAAGAAAAAAGAAAGCUGGCAAUGUUUGGUUGCUAAGCAAAAUAUAAGUAUUCCUUACUCUUAUUGACAUUUCACUGUAUUAACUGAAUAAUUCAUAGUAGUUACUAAAAAGCUGAAUAAUAUCUGAAUAUUAAGCCAUGACAUUCUUUUCAAUAAGUACAUUCUUAACACUACAUAACAUCUUGGAUUGUUAAAGCCUCCCCCAAGAGAGGGAGUAACCUCUAAUUGGUCAUCGUAGACUAUAAUGGCCCAUACUUGAGAUGACACAAAAUAUGGAAGUUAUGAAGGAUGAUUUAGUUACUAUGAGAUAUCCCAUUGUAAAUGUGCCCAUUUACAUGUUUACAUAUCCUGUAAGCAUGCCAUGAAAGUGAAUGUACUUGUAAGUUAUUAUAAUUUUAAUAUGUCAAAUCUACAACAUAUGCUAGUUGUAUCUAUAUGAUCAUCUGUUUUAAUCACUUCCUUUAUGUUCACAUUUUUUUCUGAUUGGAAAUGGCUCUGGUCAUGUGACCAUUUAUACAACCUACAUGAAAACAUUCUUAUGAAAUCAAGACAACAACUUUAAAGCUUUACAAAUGUGACUGCUGACAUCAAAUGGGUUAAUUCAAACCCAGCAACGGCACUCACUUAAAUCUCACCAUUCAAAGUGGGUUCAUUUGUUUUUCAUUUACUUUGAAUAAUUGGAAUAUUAUUUCCCCUGAAAAAGAUUGUCUCAGAUUCUGAGCAGAGAGUGUGUUUUUCUGUUCCGUUCCUGAAAUGGUGCUUUUACGUUGUUACUUUAAGAGCAAGGCCUUACCUAAGCAAUCAGUCUGUGCACAACAAGCUGUUAAACGGUUUGUAGAAGCUGUCACUGCCUCUCUUUCCCACAGAACUGAACUGUUACUCAGCUUAAAGUGCUAUGCAUUUUAUUUGAACCACUCUCUGGCAUCCUGACUCUGGCACUAUAUAGAAGCAGCAGGAAUCUCAAACGGCUCUAUUUUUGUGAUCAUAGUGCAAAAACAAGAUAUGAGCUAGUCACUUUGUGUAUUUUCAGAAUCUUUAUGAUCAUCUGCACAGGUGGUAAUGUGACAAAAACUAAAAAUGGGGUUGAAUUUGAAUGAAUGUAUGUUUAAUGUAUGGUCAAUAUCCAAUCAAAUCAGCUCCUCUCUUUCCCCCCAUCUGGUGAUGUUUCUAUAGUCACAUAUGAUUUACAAAUUUUAGAGUAGCAAUAACCAGCUGACUGACAGGACUUAAAAUUGUCUGCUUAAAAUUGUCUUCUUUCACUAGAUUUUACAGUUAUAUAUUAGUGUUAGUGCCAGGUAUGCAGAGAUUCGGACACAAGUGUAGACAUUGUUUUUUUUGAAUGCCAACAGUGCAAAAUCCACAGCAAUCAUUUAAAACAUGCAAAGGGUUAUAUAUAUUGAUAUGUAUAUGUGAUUCAUAUAUGUACAUGUGAUUACCGAGAUUUAAAUGUAUUAAAGAGAAAACGUGUACGAUGUAAAGGAGAAAUAUAUCAUUAAUGACCCCUCCUCAGCAUGGUUUCCAGAUAUAACACUAUAAAAUGCUAAAUUCAGUCUGUAGCCUGCAGUUUAUGCUUACAAUUAAGUGGCUACAUUUUAAUUGCAAAAUUUUCAUCAAAGGUAUUGAAUGCUCAUUGGUCACGGAGACUAAUUAUGUCUGAUUGUAUUACAAGCAAACGCAUGUUUAAUAGAUAGAAAAUGUAUUUCUUUGAUAAACACAAUCUCUGCCACAUCUGGUUUUUAACAAAUCGCUACAUAGCCAGCGAGAAUUAAAGCCCUGUAUCUGAGAGCUUUAUCAAGAUAAUCUGCUUCACACCAGCUCCACCACAGAGAAAAACAAUUUCAAAUGACUAUCAUUUUAUAUAGUACGUAGGCACAUGUAAAGUUAUUGGAUUAUUUUGGUAAUGUUGAGAUCAUCUUCUGAGAGCCAAAAUAAGAUAAAGAGAAACUAAAUGGGUUUGAAAAUCUGACUGUGACAACAGUCACAUACCCUUUUAUAACCCUCCACCCACAUCAGAGCAUCACAUUAAUUAUAGUCACAAAAAUAGUUAUGGUGAAUAAAUGAAAAAAAAAAAUAAUAAUUUUUUUUUUUUACACUUAUAAAUAGCAAAAUGCUAGAGUUAACCAAUAAAUUACACUUUCAAUGGCAAUUGCUUGUAUUGUGGACGGUAGCUAGCCCUUUAAGUCCCCUGCAAACUUGCUUCUGCAGAUGAAAAAGCAGCAUGAGCUAUCAACUGUCACUUGGGCUUCAGGUAGGGGUCUGACAACAGCAUGGUGAUGUGUCACUAUUCAGCACUCCUACUCUAUACACACACAUGCACAUGUGCCGAUAGAAUAAAGACCCCUACAUUAUUCCAAAUGUUUAGUGAUUUAUAAGAAAGGCAGCUCCAACAUGGCCUCUCUUUUCUGCUCUCUGAAUAAUGGAGCCAUCUAUUAAUCUAUCUAUUAGUCUCUUUAUCUCUAUAAAGCACUAGCAUUUACUUUAUCUUAACCUUUACCUUCCCCUUUAUGUUCCCCUUUAACAUCCUACAUUAAAGUUUCAUUGCCAAGGAGCACAGCAUUACAAGAGUUUCAUGUCACUGUAUGACAAAAGGAACAAGCUGACCGCUUAUUAAAACUAAAAUCCCUUGGAGUGUUAAAACAUUCAUGGACAACCAUUAGCUUUAAUAAAUAUCAUUUGGUUCACUGCAUCCUAGAAUUUUUGAAAAGAGGAAUGAACCUGAACAUGCAUUUGCACACCAGGCAUCAUCUCCAAGCUUUAAAAAAUCUGCAAGGGAUUAAAGCCCUGAUGUCUACCUUGUGCCCCAGUGAGUGACUGUUUAGGUAGUCUGCUGAUACAAUGAUAUUCCUUGGGGAGACAUUUUCUUGGCCUUUACUUCUGCUGUCAGUCAAGCAUGCACCAAAGCACAGUAAAUCCCAAAUAUAGCAUCAAAGCCUCCAUUUAAGCCUCAUUAGCAAACACUCUGUUGCCAAGAUCAAGUGCUGCUCCUACACCUCAGUGGUUAAACCAAACAAGAUCCUUACAAGAUCUUUUAAUCAAAACCAACCUGGCAUUCUAUGGACAAAAUAAUUAAAUUCUUGAAAAUCUCUUUCUCAAAAUUGUUGAUACUUUCACUUUAUCUGUGUUAUGAAUCGUUGGAGGGAAUUCGGGACUUCACUUCCCAGCAGCCAUUGCACCUCUACAUCACAGUCACAUGACCUGACUCUCAUUCUAUUAUUGAGCACCUGUGUGUAUUUAAGUGUCAGUUUGUACAGCACUCUGUCUGCCUUUGUUCAUCUCAUGUUGUCACGUUUUGCUCUCCUGUUUCCUAGAUCUUGGUUAAUGUUUGUUCUCCCUGUUCACGUAUGCUUAGUGACUUUGUGUUUGUUUGUAUUUUCAUGAAACUUUGAAUCUGCACGUGUAUCUGCCUCUGUCUCUGCAUUCGUGACUGUCUAUAGAGUCUACACAUUACUGUCAUAAAACCACUGAGGUAUAAAAUAUGAUCACCCAGGCUUUAAUAUUACAGGUUUUUAUGUCACUUCCAAAUAUGUCAGUUUGUUUACUUUAGUUUGCACAGCUUGAAUCGUGACCACAUUAGCUCCACCCCCACAAAAGAUUAUAGACUAAGAGAUUAUAGACUGUAUUUAACCCAGACUUCAUGUUAAUCACAAUUUUCCUUUUUACACUGAAAUGAAGUGGAUUUUGUUAAUGUGACUGAACAUUGAUUAUUGUUUUUCUAUUUCUUUUUUAUUAGAAAUACUAUUCAUAUGUAUGGUACACCCAAAUGCAUGGUACCAAAGCAUUUCAUUUUCUUACAUGUGAUUCUGGCAGCUGAGUGCAUUUCGAGAAAUGGAAAUGACUCACCAUGUAUUCCUGUAGAUCAUUGGGAUUUGAUGCUCAACAACAGGGUGGACAGGGAAGUGGUCUGUGGAACAUUUAACUGCACUUAUAUAGCGUUAUUUUUUUUAACCUUUACACUAUUUAAACUGGUUCUCAUUCACCCAUUCACACAGGCAAGGCGCUUGCCAUCAGGAGCAACUUGGGGUUCAGUGUCUCCUUGGGCAAGUAAACAAUCCAGCAUGUGGAGUCAUGGAUUGUCCAUGGAUUGUCCGGCAUGUGGAGUCAUGGGGGCUGGGGCUUGAACUGCCAAUCCUACAAUUAGCGGACAACCAUCUCUUCUGACCACAUAAAAGUGAGUGAAAGACAAAUGGAGAGGUUGGCAUCAAUCCUCGUCUCACUCUGAUUGCAUGCUAGGGUUGUUAUCAGAGCUGCUCACAGUGGACAGGCUUCUUACUGCAGCU
ensembl:lncRNA